AGUGGAUGGGGAGCAACCUAGUUGUGCGUGUGUAAAGGUAGUGCCAAGAAAAGCGGUGAUCAUGAUGAAAAUCAAUUCCCGGUACCCGAAACCGACACAGGUGGGCAAGUAGAGAAUACUAAGGGGCGCGAGGUAACUCUCUCCAAGGAACUCGGCAAAAUGACCCCGUAACUUAGGGAGAAGGGGUGCCACCGAGAGGUGGUCGCAGUGAAGAGGCCCAGGCGACUGUUUAGCAAAAACAUAGGUCUCUGCAAACUCGAAAGAGGAGGUAUAGGGGCUGACGCCUGCCCAGUGCCGGAAGGUUAAAGAAGUUGGUCAGUCUUAGGAUAAAGCUAGCGACUGAAGCCCCGGUGAACGGCGGCCGUAGCUAUAACGGUCCUAAGGUCGAAAUUCCUUGUCGGGUAAGUUCCGACCCGCACGAAAGGCGUAACGAUCUGGGCGCUGUCUCGGAGAGAGGCUCGGCGAAAUAGGAUUGUCUGUGAAGAUACGGACUACCUGCACCUGGACAGAAAGACCCUAUGAAGCUUUACUAUAGCUUGGAAUUGUGUUCGGGCUUCCUGUGCGCAGGAUAGGUGGGAGGCGAAGAAGGUAUUCUUGUGGGGAUACUGGAGCCAACGGUGAGAUACCACUCUCAGGAGGCUAGAAUUCUAACUUAAUUAAGGACAGUUUCAGGUGGGUAGUUUGGCUGGGGCGGUCGCCUCCAAAAAGGUAACGGAGGCGUACAAAGGUUCCCUCAGACUGGUUGGAAAUCAGUCGCAGAGUGCAAAGGCAGAAGGGAGCUUGACUGCGAGAAGUACAGUUCGAGCAGGGUGGAAACACGGUCUUAGUGAUCCGACGGUGCUGUGUGGAAGGGCCGUCGCUCAACGGAUAAAAGUUACUCUAAGGAUAACAGGCUGAUCUCCCCCAAGAGUUCACAUCGACGGGGAGGUUUGGCACCUCGAUGUCGGCUCAUCGCAACCUGGGGCGGAAGUACGUCCCAAGGGUUGGGCUGUUCGCCCAUUAAAGCGGUACGUGAGCUGGGUUCAGAACGUCGUGAGACAGUUCGGUCCAUAUCCGAUGUAGGCGUGAGAAUAUUGAGAGGAGCCUUCCUUAGUACGAGAGGACCGGGAAGGACGCACCGCUGGUGCACCUGUUAUGAUGCCAAUUGUAAACGCAGGGUAGCCAAGUGCGGAGAGGAUAACCGCUGAAAGCAUCUAAGUGGGAAGCCCACCUCAAGAUGAGUAUUCUGGUGUAAGGUCACGGGAAGACGACCCGUAAAUAGGCACGAGGUGGAAGUGCAGAGAUGUAUGAAGCCGAAGUGUACUAAUAGACCGUCGGCUUGACC
rnacentral:rRNA from 1 species